CGAGUGGCGAACGGGUGAGUAAUACAUCGGAACGUGUCCGCUCGUGGGGGACAACCAGCCGAAAGGUUGGCUAAUACCGCAUGAGUUCUACGGAAGAAAGAGGGGGACCCGCAAGGGCCUCUCGCGAGCGGAGCGGCCGAUGACCGAUUAGCCGGUUGGUGAGGUAACGGCUCACCAAAGCAACGAUCAGUAGCUGGUCUGAGAGGACGACCAGCCACACUGGGACUGAGACACGGCCCAGACUCCUACGGAAGGCAGCAG
rnacentral:rRNA from 1 species